AGCACAUGUCAGUAUCAUCCGGAUCCAAUCAGUGAAGAACAUGUUUCCAUAAUAAAAAGCUCACCUCAACAGAGAAGAGAAGCCACGCGGGCUCACGGCUGACGGCACGCCGAGAAUGAGACAGAGAAGCGAGCUCACCGCGAAGCACAGCAGUGAAGGCGAUCCACUGCGGAGAAGGAGGACACUAGGAGCACGGACUGGCAGAGGCAGUGAAGACGCGACACGAACGGAGGCGACAGGCGAGCGAGGGACGCUCAAGAGCCGGUGAGACGACGGAAAGGAGCCGACGAGAGGCUCGGCGACGAGGCGGCGACCAUGGGGUGGCGGUGAAAGCUCUAGCUGCGGCUGCCGUUCUGCCUUUUAGUUCAAGUGAGAGAGUGAGGCUCUGCCUCUGUUCCUUCGAUCAGGUGCAGUGAAGUUGAUAGUUGAUUUGAUUAAAUUUUUAUCUAACUGUUCUCAAUUAUCAAUUUCACUUUAAAUUGAUGGUACUGAGUUUUCACCUAGAUAAUUUUAGUGAUCGUUUUAAUUGUAUACAUAUUUAAACGUGCAAAUAUCUUUACCGUGUAACAGAUUGUAGAAAACUGUAGUAAUACCUUGUUGGGGGCGACAGUUGAAACCUUCCUAAGUAGCACUUUUGUUGCAUCUCUAGGAAUUCAAAACACAAAAGUUAUCACUUCUAAACAAAUUCAGCAUAAUACUUUAAAAAAUGAACAAGUUAUACUUUGAAGAACCUUGAAGACAAUGUGUGAACACUACUGUUAUUAAUAAUCUCGUAAUAUCAAAUAUGCAGCAAUAUGGUGUCCCUACUUUUAUUUGGUUAAUUAAAGGUCAAACUUUAAUACACCACGUGCAAUUUGAAUAAGCUGUUUUCAUUCUUCAAAGAAGAAUUAAAAAAUGAAGACUUACAUCAAAGCCAGCUAGCAACUCUGCUGUCAUGAAUUAUUUAAAGUUAGUUACCACUUGAUUCCCAUGUUCUUAUACCAUAUGACAUCAUGGUCAUACAUAUUGGGAUAUACUUGAUCCAGUAGAUCACCGAGUUCAGUAUCCUGCAAACAUUGUUCUCUUACCCUUUUGUUUUGAAAAUUUGACUACUUUGAUCUUGUUUGAGAUCAUGGCUGGAGUUCUUGUUGGUGGAGCUUUUCUGUCUGGCUUCAUUAACGUUGUCUUGGAUAGGCUCAUUUCGGUUGAUGCAAUCAACUUGGUUGCAGGCAAGAAGCUUAGCUCUGACUUGGUUGAGAGGCUGAGGAAUGCUCUGAUGGAUGCUGGAGCUCUUGUUGAUGAUGCAGAGCUCAAGCAACUGGAUAACCAUGAUGUGAAGGAGUGGCUCAACUGUCUCCGAGAUGCUCUUUACACUGCUGAUGACUUGCUGGACCGCGUCUGCACCAAAGCUGCAACUCAAAAGGGGGUAUGCAAUUUCUUGCCUAGCUUCUUGAAUUCUGAAGAGAGGCAGAUGGUGAAAGAGAUAGAAAGGGUGGUUACAAGGAUAGAAGAUCUUGAGAAACGCAAAGGAAAGCUUGGGCUUGAAAAGAUUUCCACUGCUAGCUUCUCCUGGAAAACUACAUCCACUUCUAUUGUAAAAGGGAAUGUGUAUGGCAGGGAGGAUGACCAGAAGGCCUUAGUCCAGAUGCUGAAUGACAACAAUGAGCAUCACUUGUCUGUGAUCUCUAUUGUUGGCAUCGGUGGUGUUGGUAAAACUACUUUGGCUCAAUGGAUGUACAAUAAUGCAGAGUUGAUGGAGGGAUUUGAUCGGAAAGCAUGGGUUUGUGUUUCGGAAAACUUCAAUAUUGUUGAGACUACAAGGAAUAUAGUAAAGGAGAUCUCUACAAAUACUCAGGAUCUUGAUAGCUUCAAUUCAAUUCAAGAUGCUUUGAAGAAAGGAUUGUCCGAAAAGAAGUUCUUUAUUGUUUUGGAUGAUGUUUGGAGUAAUGAUCAUCAUCAAUGGAAGGAUUUUCUAGCCCCUUUUCAAUAUGGGGUUAAGGGAAGUACUAUUCUUCUGACUACUCGCAAGGAAGAUGUUGGUUCAGUUGUCCAAACAAAUUAUCACCCUCACUAUCUCAUUCCAUUAUCAGAAGACUAUUGUUGGUCAGUGUUUGCAGCCAAUGCUUCUUUUCCAGAGUCAAAUGGGAGCCCAACACUAGAAGGAAUAGGAAAAAAGAUUGCCAGGAAGUGUGACGGUUUGCCAUUAGCAGCAGAAACACUUGGUUGCUUGUGCAGAAGGCAUGAUGCUGAGGAAUGGGAAAAAAUCUUAAGGAGUGAUAUUUGGGGAUUUUCUACAAUUGACAGUAAGAUUAUUCCAGCACUGUUAAUUAGUUACUUCCACCUUCCUGCACAUUUGAAGCGUUGUUUUGUUUAUUGUGCACUGUAUCCGAAAGAUUAUCUUUUGGAUAAAGAUGAACUAAUUUUGCUGUGGAUGGCCCAAGAUCUUUUAAGGCUACCAAAUAGAGGAGAGAGUUUUGAAGAAGUUGGUUGCAAAUAUUUUGAAGAAUUAGCUUCCAGAUUAUUUUUUAAACCAAGUAAGUAUAAUUUUAAGAGAUUUGUGAUGCAUGAUCUCUUGCAUGACUUGGCAAUAUUCCUUGCUGGCGACUUUUAUUGUAGAAUAGAAGAACUUGGUGAACAAGAAGAGAAGAAGGUUCUCACUCGUCAUUUAUCACAUAUCUCACGUGGAAGCUUAGGUCCUCGAAUCUCAAAAGUCUCUAACUCCAUUGCGAAAUUGGAAUCUUUGAGGACAUCGUUGUAUAUCGAUGAUUUGUUUAACCUGGAAAGCAUAGCAUCAAAGUUUAAAUACUUGAGAGUUUUAUCCUUUCAUAAACUUGACGUAUUACCUGAUUCAAUAGGUGAAUUGAUUCAUCUACGCUAUUUGAAUCUCUCUUGGACUGACAUCAACAUGUUGCCAGAAUUGUUGUGCAACUUGUAUAAUCUACAAACAUUAAUAUUGUAUGGAUGUACUAAGCUGACCAUGUUGCCCAGUGGCAUGCAUAAUCUUGUGAAUUUACGGCAUCUGGAUCUUAGGAAAACUUCUUUGGAAGAAAUGCCUGGGGGAAUAAGCAAAUUGAAACACUUGCGUGUCUUAGAUUUCUUUAUCGUGGGCAAGCAUGAAGAUAAUGGAAUCCAUGAAUUGGGAGGGCUCUCAAAUCUUCAUGGAUCAUUCCAGCUUAAGAAGUUGGAGAAUAUUGUGGAUGUGAAAGAAGCAGAGAAUGCAAGAAUGAUAAACAAGAAUCUCAUCAGCAAAUUAUACUUGGAGUGGUCUUCAGGUGGUGAUAUGGUUUCGAAUACACAAACUGAGAGAGAGAUACUCCACAGCUUGGAACCGCACAAUGGCUUGAAAGAGUUGACAAUAAGGAGAUACAGGGGUACAAUAUUUCCAGAUUGGUUGGGGCACUGUUCUUACAACAAUAUGACACAUGUAUCGUUGGUGUGUUGCAUGAACUGUUGCAUGCUGCCUUCACUUGGACAGCUACCAUCUCUUAAGUCCCUGUACAUUCGAGAUUUCGGUCAGCUCAGCAGCAUUGGAAUUGAGUUUUACAAGAAUGAAGACAAUCCUUCUUUGCAUAUUGCUCCUUUUCCCUCACUGGAGACAUUGCAACUUCAGGAUAUGCCAUGCUGGGAGGUGUGGAAUUUACCUGACUCAGAAACUUUUCGUCAGCUUAAGAGUCUUCAAAUAACAGAUUGUCCAAUGUUAAAGGGAGAUAUGCUUCAUCAUGUAUUAAUGAGAAUUGUUUCUUCCUCAAUGGAUGUUUCAAAAGUUCGCAAACUGGAAAUACUACAAGAUGACAAAGAAAGGUUUCAACAGAUGCUACUUUCUGGGGAUACUUUAUUAUUUAGCGGUAGUGAAUCUAUGGUGGAGUCUGCAUUUAAGGCAAUGAUUAGCAUCAACCAUAUAAGUUGCCUCCAUGAAAUAAUCAUCCGGAGGUGUAGAAAACUAGAAUUCCCCCAGCUACAGCUGCAGAAGUAUGAUUUGGUAGAGCUACUAAUUGAAGAGAGCUGUGAUUCACUGACCUCCUUGUCGUUGGAUGUCUUUCCCAAUCUCAAGAAUCUCCAGAUAAAACGGUGUAGGAAUCUGGAAUCGGUGUCAAUGUCAGAGGCACCACACGCUGCUCUUCAACGUCUCUCCAUCUAUGACUGCCACAAAUUAGUGUCAUUUGCAGGAGAAGGACUGGCUGCACCCAACUUGAUUCAUCUUCAAGUCGCAUGGUGCUCCAAGUUGGAGGCAUUACCACGUGACAUGAAUAGUCUACUCCCAAGUUUAGAGUUUCUCGACAUACGAGGUUGCCGAAACAUUUGCAGGUUGGCAGAGGGUGGUUUACCUCCUAACUUGAAAUCACUUGAAGUGGGAAUUUGUGAGCAACAAAUGAGGGAUCCAUCAUGGAUGCCCAACUUGCACGCACUCACUCAUCUCAGGAUUGAAGGUCAUUACUGCGACAACAUAAAGUCAUAUCCAGAGGUGGGUUCGCUGCCUCACCUUCCCUCCCUUACCACUCUUGAGAUAUGGCACUUCCAUAAUCUGGAGACAUUGGAGUGCAACGAGCUUCUCCGCCUCACCUCCCUUCAACAAUUGCACAUUUCAUUCUGCAGGAAGCUGGAGAAUAUGGAAGGAGCAAUGCUACCUUCCUCUCUGUUGCUAUUCAAAAUGGAAUACUGUCCUUUGCUGGAAGAACACUGCAAGAACAAGCAUCAAUUAAUCUGGCCCAAAAUUUCCCACAUCCCAACCAUUCAAGUCAAUCGCAACAAAAUUUCCUGAAUAGAGAUUUCUGAGCAGGUACAUUGUAAUGAAGUAAAAGUGCCCAAAUGGCAGAGAUUCAUCAUAUAUAAUCUUAUACAAAUACUUUAGCUUCAGGUAAAAAGUUCACAGUUGUUCCAGAUUUCAUUGUACAUGUAUAUGUAUAUGGAGAUGUGUAAAGUGGAUUAAUGUGUUGGGAAGCAGUAGUGUUUUGUGAUUUCGGCUUUCAUGUUAAUUGCUAUGUACACUAGUUUAAAUUAAUGACUGAUGUGUAUCAUAUCUACACAUUAUUCAAUGCUUUGCUUCAAAGAUAGGAACCGUAGCUGGUUGUUUGGUUAUAUGACUUAUAUCAAUAGCAGUCAUGUUUGAACUUUGAACCAACAUGCUAAACAAAUGAGUUUCAAUAUAUAA